UACGGGGGGGGCAAGCGUUGUUCGGAAUUACUGGGCGUAAAGGGCUCGUAGGUGGCCAACUAAGUCAGACGUGAAAUCCCUCGGCUUAACCGGGGAACUGCGUCUGAUACUGGAUGGCUUGAGUUCGGGAGAGGGAUGCGGAAUUCCAGGUGUAGCGGUGAAAUGCGUAGAUAUCUGGAGGAACACCGGUGGCGAAGGCGACACGCUGGGCCGUACCUGACGCUAAAGCGCGACAGCAUGGGGAGCAAACGGG
rnacentral:rRNA from 1 species